AACGAACGCUGGCGGCAUGCCUAACACAUGCAAGUCGAACGAGACCUUCUGCUUUCGUGUCGCACGGGCGCGUACUGCGUUGGAACCUGCCCUUAGGACCGGAAUAACUUCCCCCAAGGGGUUGUAAUUACGGCUAAUGUACUCGGUCUAAGGCUUUAUCGCCCUUGGGUGGGCCCGCGGUGGUUUAGCUAGUUGGUCGGGUAAAAGGCUACCAAGGCGACGAUUCAUAGCUGGUCUGAGGGGAUGAUCCGCCGCACAGGGACUGAGGCACGGCCCAAGUGGCGACGAGAGGCCGCAGUGGGGAAUAUUGAACAAGGGACGAAGGCCUGAUCAAGCAGUGCCGCGGGAUGGAUGAAGGCCUUAGGGUUGUGAAACUCUUUUGCUCGGGAUGAUAGUGACAGUACCGGGAGAAUAAGCUCCGGCUAACUCCGUG
rnacentral:rRNA from 1 species